AGCGAGAUGGCGCAGCUGGUAGCGCGCUGGGCUCAUAUAUCAAUGUCACCCAGAGGUCGUCGGAUCGAGACCGACUCUCGCUA
rnacentral:tRNA from 1 species